CCUACGGGAGGCAGCAGUGGGGAAUAUUGCACCAUGGGGGAAACCCUGAUGCAGCAACGCCGCGUGGGUGAAGGAGCGUUUCGGCGCGUAAAGCCCUGUCAGCGGGGAAGAAGAAAGACGGUACCCGACCAAGAAGCCCCGGCUAACUACGUGCCAGCAGCCGCGGUAAUACGUAGGGGGCGAGCGUUAUCCGGAAUUACUGGGUGUAACGGGAGCGUAGACGGCGAGGUAAGCCUGAAGUGGAAGCCCGCGGCCCAACCGCGGAACUGCGUUGGGAACUGUGUUGCUGGAGUGUGGGUGGGGUAAGCGGAAUUCGUGGUGUAGCGGUGAAAUGCGUAGAGAUCAGGAGGAACACCGGUGGCGAAGGCGGCUUACUGGACCAUAACUGACGUUGAGGCUCGAAAGCGUGGGGAGCGAACAGGAUGAGAUACCCGAGUAGUC
rnacentral:rRNA from 1 species